rnacentral:siRNA from 1 species
ACGAUCUCAAUUUCAAUCCCCGCU